rnacentral:ribozyme from 1 species
ACGCCUCCAACAUCAUGCCCUCUCACAAGCGCACUGAUCGCCACUCUUAAACAACACAAACAACCCCCAACAUCCUCCCAACAACGACAGCACCAAACAAACAAACACAAACAAUCCUCCAUCGCCAUUCCUCCUUCUUUCCUUCUCCUUCUCCUUCUUCUUUCCUUGUGAUGUAA